UUUUCUCCUCUCUCCUCUAAACUCUGAGGGUGAUUUAACACGUGCAUUGAGAUCUGUGUCAAGCACAAAGAUAAAGGUUUUCUUUCACUCACAAGAGGACACGUGUUGCACUUCCUUCCUUCCACUGGCUGGAGAGAUGUGUUCGGUGGUCUGUGGUCGUUGUUUGCAGCGUCGCUUACAGACUGCAGCUCUUCUCACAGCUCUCUGCCAUCAUGGACCAGCGGACGCAGUUGUGUUGCGUUCUUCUUCUUCUGCUGCCGUUGUGCUUGUGUUUGGACGCUGAAGUGUAUAAAUAUAAAACCAUCGGGAGAGGACCUGACGUCACUCCCAUCUGCACCAAUACAACAGAGCAGGUCAUAACGCUCAUAGUGUGUAAGAUCAGAACUUACAGGACUGGAGGAGAGUGUCGUCUGCUGUAUCGAUACGGAGGAGACUUUGAGCAUGAAUGUGACUCCAGGUUCACACUUAAGAUGGAGAAUCAGACCGUGUUUCUCCACCUGACUGGUCUCACACCAGUGGACAGUGGAACCCACACCUGUGAGUGUUAUCUUUUUCGUGAGAUGGUUACCCUCCAUCUGAACAUCACUGUGGAAGGUAAACCCAUUUAAUGCAUGUUUACUUGCGUGCUUCCUUUUACAGAGUAAAACGUGUCAUGUAUCUGACAAAGAGGUUUUUCUUUAAGAUGUUUCAGAGGAAGGAGAGAGAGAGAGCGGCGUGACGUCACACACGUGGGUUCUAAACGCGUUGAUCGCUGCAACAACAGUCAUUUCUAUAACUGCAGUUAUCUUUGGGUUUAUCAGGGUAACAAGACAUAGGUCAAGGUCAGCCACACCACGGUCAUCUGUACGUGAGACUCACGACUCUGUUGAAGACGACCCAGAUGACCCGUAUACGAGCCUCCAGCAACCAGCCGCUGACCUUUACCAGACCAUCUGCCACUCAAGAAGCUCUAAAGACCAGGAAGUAGACGGAGGAGACUCUGAUCAAAGUCACCAGGACACUUAUGAAAAAAUGACACCGUAAGCAGCACCAGGAUUGUGACUUGUGUUUGCACUUGUUUAGGAUUUCAUUAAUAAGAUGUGAUGUUAUGAGUUGAGGCCUUUCUGAUUGUCACAAUAAAAGUCCUUAAUAUGGU